rnacentral:rRNA from 1 species
AUUGAACGCUGGCGGCAGGCCUAACACAUGCAAGUCGAACGAGUGGCGGACGGGGGAGGAAUGUUUGGGAACUUGCCCGAUGGCGGGGGUAAAUUCCUGGAACCGGAACUUAUACCCGCAAACCUUCGAAUGUCCCCGGAGUGGAUUAGUCAGUAGGUGGGGUAACGGCUCACUUGGGCGACGAUCCCUAGCUGGUCUGAGAGGUUGACCGGCCACACUGGAACGGAGACACGGUCCAGACUCCUACGGGAGGCAGCAGUGGGGAAUAUUGCACAAUGGGCGCAAGCCUGAUGCAGCCAUGCCGCGUGUAUGAAGAAGGCCUUCGGGUUGUAAAGUACUUUCAGCGGGGAGGCGUUACCCGCAGAAGAAGCACCGGCUAACUCCGUGCCAGCAGCCGCGGUAAUUC